rfam:Triticum aestivum genome assembly, contig: Triticum_aestivum_CS42_TGACv1_scaffold_223358_3B
AAUCAACUUCCUACUUCCGAAAAUACUUGUCAUCAAAAUGGAUUAAAGGGGAUGUAUCUAGACAUAUUUCCGUUCUAGAUACAUCUCUCUUUAUUCAUUUUGAUGACAAGUAUUUCCGGACAGAGGGAGUAUAAU